GGCAGGGUAGCUCAGUUGGUUAGAGCGUGAGACUCAUAAGCUCGAGGUCGCGGGUUCAAUUCCCGCCCCUGCUA
rnacentral:tRNA from 1 species